CUUAAGGAUAUGAGAAGGGCUUCCACGACAGUGAUGUCUGGGGGCCUUUUUCUUU
rnacentral:antisense_RNA from 1 species